UGCAGUAUGACAGUGUGAGUGUCUCUUUAAUGCCCAUCUUUCUCUAGGGCAGUGAUCUAUCAUGACCGAGGGGUUCUCACAGCAGGUGUAUCCCAUAUGACUGUGAACAGCUUAAAAGGGCAAAGGACAGGUGGGGGUGUUUGGUCUCUAGUGAUAGGAGAUGGUGUGUUUUUGUGACUUCAGUUGUGCUGUUCUCCUUCAAGCAAAUCCAGGUAGCAGCUCUGUUUCUGUGACUGGUGGUAGCUGGUGCUUAUUGUCCUUCCCACUGAACUGGCAUCUGAGUGCACUCAUGAGCAACUUGAGGCAUGGAUAAAGGCAUGUAACACAAGGUGGAGAUUUCCCUAAGGACUCCUGUGCCUGUACUUCAAAGCAGUAGUGCUCCAGGAACAAGGCCAAAGUAGCAUGGAGAGGCUGUCAGCAGUGAGUCACACCUUUGAUGUACCUUUAUCUUAUCAGGACAUUUAAAUAUGAAGAGUCUCAUCAGGCAGCAAGUGGCUGGUUGUAUGAAGUUGGUCAAUCAGUGUGAGUUCCUUAAGCUAUUGUGCAAUGUUAUAUAGUACUGAAAAUACAGCAAGCAAUAAGAGGAAAUACCUGUGAUGGGGCAUGGAGGCAACCAGUGUCUGCACUCACGCGUGUACAUUGGAGAUGGAAUGUUGUUGUUUACCUGUACCCUCUGUUUUCAUGAAGUCCAGGAGAUAUGCAGAGGUAGAGGUUGCAGCAGGAGGUGCAGGGCUGUUCUUGCUGUAUGAAAUGUCACCAAGCAAAAAAACAACAACAACAACAACAAAAAAAAAAAAAACAGUGCAGUCAAAAAGGAAGUGAGAAGGAGAUUGCCCUUAUGCAGCAGCUCUGCUCUGUUUUGCAGAGAUGUUGGCAUCCUUACAGAGGCUAAGGAGGAUCAAAGAGGUAGCCUUGCAGAUGACAAAGCUGUUGCCAAAUCCCAGUUCUUUAUAGCCCUUGCUGUAGGGAGCUCUGACAGCAGUGGUGAAGCUCUCCGCUUAUCAGGUAGUGGGUUAAAGGAAAACCUGUCUUGCAGGCUUCAUGCUUGUAAAUCCAAGUGCUUUCUUUGAGUGGAGAGUGCACUGCCUGCUUUAAAGGUAAUAUAUGCUUAUGCACCUAUUAGCAGAACCUAUUUAUUUUUUUCCUGGAGGAUUAGGAUUCCCAGAUCUGGGAUUUCAAGGAGAAACAAGACCAGAAGUAACAGCUGGCAGAAUGAUUCAGUGAGACUGACAGAUUUGAAUGUUUGGUCAUUGGUAAUCCAUCAGUAAAGCUAGCUUCAAAACAAGUUUCCAGAUCUUGUGGGGACAGAAAGUCUCUAGCUGUGUACAUGGUAUUUGCUAUACAUUCCGCACCAGAAAACAGCUGUUGAAAACGCACACCCAUUUUGUUCUUGUGCUUCCCCCUGCCCCUGUAGCAGCUGUCUCUGAGGCUGUUAUCAGGCACCAGACACAGCCCAACCAGAGCGUGCUGAGGAAGGGCAACUUCCAGAGCAGGAACAGAAAAGCUGCAAACCACCAACUGAUAAUAAUGCAACUUGCUUAGCAAGGAGGAAGCUGCCCUUGGGUAAAGCUUUGCACUCUGGCUCUUGUCUCCCAGGCAAAGAAAC